CACCACUCUGCCUCUUCUGCACUGCCUAUCCCUCCUGAAGAGCCUGUAACCAUCCAGUGGGGCACUCCAGUCACAGGACUCAUCCCACCAGCACAAGGUGACAGACCAAGACUUCAGGAGAGCUAAGGAGGAGCAGAUAUUUUAAAAAAAAUUCUGGAGAGAACUGCAUUGCAAGAUCAGCAUUUUACCCCAGGUAGUGAUAAGAAAGAGCUUUUGAACACCCAUUACACUGCACAAGUGUGUGGGGAACUGCUCUUCAUUAAUUUAGAAUGGAGGGAAUUUUUGAACUCCAGAAGACAGACUAGUAAGUGUAGUUUGAAUGUGCCUCUCUCCUUUCCUCUUUUCACUGUUUUUACAUUGACCUAACAUAUAAACAGAUAGCUUUCCAAGAUCUCUGUUGGCAAGCAGGGUUUAGUGUGCAAGCACCAAUCCAAAUAUUAUAGGACCUUAGAGGUCUUUGGCUGCAGAAAAAAUGGUUUUAAAAGCAAUAGCAAUAGUAAAAGGAUCAUAGUACAAUAAUAGAUUUGAAAGCUUAUACUGUGAAUGAUGCAGUGGAUGAGAGUUGAUGAUAUAGAUGAAGUACUUUGUGAGCUGCUGGGAGCAAAGCAGGUCCUGAUUAUUUCAUUGACAGAGGUGGGUUGUGGGGGCAGAGGACACCACAUAAAAGUUGGAGCUUUCAAUCUAUCCAUGAUUACUGCGGUGCUUGAGGAGGGUGCAGCAGCAGCACUGUCAG